rnacentral:misc_RNA from 1 species
UCCUCCUUGCAUGGAGGCAGUUCGGCUAGAGUGAUACAACUAACCGUAGGGGUUGCGCUCGUUAUGGGACUUAACCCAACAUCUCACGACACGAGCUGAGGACAGCCAUGCAGUACCUGUGUAACAGCCUCGAAGGGGGCCCCUGUUUCUAGGGGUUUCCAGUUACAUGUCAAGCCUAGGUGAGGUUCUUCGCUUUGUAACGAAUUAAACAACACGCUCCACUGCUUGUGCGGCUCCCCGUCAAUUCCUUUGAGUUUUAGCCUUGCGGCCGUACUCCCCAGGCGGGAUGCUUAUCGCGUUAGCUUAAGACACUGAAGGGGUCAAUACCUCCAAUAUCGAGCAUCCAUCGUUUACGGCGUAGACUAC